rnacentral:rRNA from 1 species
CUACGGGUCGCUCCAGUGGGGAAUAUUGGACAAUGGGGGAAACCCUGAUCCAGCAAUGCCGCGUGUGUGAAGAAGGCCUGCGGGUUGUAAAGCACUUUCGGUUGGGAGGACUGCUUCUAGCACUAAUAUUGUUGGAAGUUGACGUUACCUUCAGAAGAAGCACCGGCUAACUCCGUGCCAGCAGCCGCGGUAAUACGGUGGGUGCAAGCGUUAAUCGGAAUUACUGGGCGUAAAGGGCGCGUAGGCGGCUAGAUCAGUCGGGUGUGAAAGCCCCGGGCUUAACCGGGGAACUGCAUCCGAUACUGUCUAGCUUGAGUACAGGAGAGGAGGGUGGAAUUCCACAUGUAGCGGUGAGAUGCGUAGAUAUGUGGAGGAACACCAAUGGCGAAGGCAGCUCUCUGGCCUGAUACUGACGCUGAGGUGCGAAAGCGUGGGGAGCAAACAGGAUUAGAUACCCCCGUAGUC